GCCGAGAUAGCUCAGUUGGCAGAGCACGUCAUUGGUAAUGACGAGGUCACGGGUCCGAUCCCCGUUCUCGGCUCCA
rnacentral:tRNA from 2 species